GUGCUCACUUUGGCAGCACAUAUACUAAAAUUGGAACGAUACAAAGAAGAUUAGCAUGGCCCCUGCUCAAGGAUGACACGCAAAUUCAUGAAGCAUUCAUAAAAAUA
ensembl:snRNA U6 U6 spliceosomal RNA